UUUUUGUGAUGAUCAAUUUACCAUUACCAUCUUUCGACUGAGUAAUUUUUUGAUGUAUAAAUUUUAACUGAUUUUUUUU
rfam:Stomoxys calcitrans breed 8C7A2A5H3J4 unplaced genomic scaffold Scaffold23, whole genome shotgun sequence.